rnacentral:tRNA from 1 species
GGUGAGAUGUCUGAAUUUAUAGGUGAUAGACUGUAAAUCUAUUUAUGGGAAUGUAUUCUCUCUCUCACCA